rnacentral:tRNA from 1 species
GGUGCCGUAGCCAAGUAGUAAGGCAGGGGUCUGCAAACCCCCCAUACGCGAGUGCAAUUCUCGCCGGCACCUCCA